UACGUAGGGUGCAGGCGUUAAUCGGAAUUACUGGGCGUAAAGCGUGCGCAGGCGGUUUUUUAAGUCAGAUGUGAAAUCCCCGGGCUUAACCUGGGAACUGCGUUUGAAACUGGAAAGCUUGAGUGCGGCAGAGGGGGGUGGAAUUCCACGUGUAGCAGUGAAAUGCGUAGAGAUGUGGAGGAACACCGAUGGCGAAGGCAGCCCCCUGGGUCGACACUGACGCUCAUGCACGAAAGCGUGGGGAGCAAACAGG
rnacentral:rRNA from 1 species